rnacentral:rRNA from 1 species
GAGACCGAUAGCGCACAAGUAGAGUGAUCGAAAGAUGAAAAGCACUUUGGAAAGAGAGUUAAAAAGCACGUGAAAUUGUUGAAAGGGAAGCGCUUGCGACCAGACCUGCCCGGGGGCGAUCAGCCGCCGUUCUCGGUGGUGCACUCGCCCGCGAUCAGGCCAGCAUCGGUUUGGGCGGCCGGACAAAGGCCGUGGGAAUGUAGCUCCCUUCGGGGAGUCUUAUAGCCCGCGGCGCAAUGCGACCAGCCCGGAUCGAGGACCGCGCUUCGGCUAGGAUGCUGGCGUAAUGGUUGCAAGCGACCCGUCUUGAAACACGGACCAAGGAGUCUAACAUCUAUGCGAGUGUUUGGGUGUCAAACCCAUGCGCGUAAUGAAA